AGUAGAGUUUGAUCAUGGUUCAGAUUGAACGCUGGCGGCAGGCUUAACACAUGCAAGUCGAACGAAGUUAGGAAGCUUGCUUCUGAUACUUAGUGGCGGACGGGUGAGUAAUGCUUAGGAAUCUGCCUAGUAGUGGGGGAUAACUUGGGGAAACCCAAGCUAAUACCGCAUACGACCUACGGGUGAAAGGGGGCGCAAGCUCUCGCUAUUAGAUGAGCCUAAGUCGGAUUAGCUAGUUGGUGGGGUAAAGGCCUACCAAGGCGACGAUCUGUAGCUGGUCUGAGAGGAUGAUCAGCCACACUGGGACUGAGACACGGCCCAGACUCCUACGGGAGGCAGCAGUGGGGAAUAUUGGACAAUGGGCGAAAGCCUGAUCCAGCCAUGCCGCGUGUGUGAAGAAGGCCUUUUGGUUGUAAAGCACUUUAAGUGGGGAGGAAAAGCUUAUGGUUAAUACCCAUAAGCCCUGACGUUACCCACAGAAUAAGCACCGGCUAACUCUGUGCCAGCAGCCGCGGUAAUACAGAGGGUGCAAGCGUUAAUCG
rnacentral:rRNA from 1 species